AUGGGAGUGUUACCUUCACUUCUGAUCGUGUACUCCGGCGUGCUAGAUGGGGUCGAGGCACCGUGUGCUUCCAGUACGGUGCUCAUUGAUUUCGAUGAGGUCGCCAUCUACAGCACCAUCACCAAAGCUCUCCUCCGAGCCUUUAUUUGCUCCUUUUUCUCGUCAAGGUCCAUCGAGGAUGGUUGGCACACAGUAGUGAUAUCACCGAGAGGUCCAUAUAAUUAUGAUGUCUUGGAGGGUAUGACGUUCGGCAAUAUUUCUGAAUCCUUCAAUGCUGACUUUGAGGAUGGUACAAUCGGGGAGGUAUGGAUCUUUGAGAGUAUCCUUCUGGGUGAAUAUGGAGAAGUAAUGAAUAUCCAAGUACUUGCUGUGGCUGAAAGGAGUCGCCCAUGGGAACUCCUAUGUCGCUGUCGUGGUUCCGCGGCGGCGGCGUUGUCCAGUGGUUCCGUGGCGGCGGUGCUGUCGAGUGGUUCCGCGACGGCGGCGCUGUGGACUGUGCAGAUCCAGAUGGAGUCGGGCGGCGAGAUCCAGAUGGACUCAGGCGGAGAUCCAGAUGGACUCAGGCGGCGAGAUCUGGUGCGGGGU
rnacentral:rRNA from 1 species